rnacentral:misc_RNA from 1 species
UUAAGUUCAGCGGGUAGUCCUACCUGAUUUGAGGUCAAAUUCAUCAAAUGUGGGUCGUGUCCCCAAAAGGGAUCCCCUCCACUUGUUAGAAGCAGUGCAAUCUGAUUAUGCAGCCUACCGAGGCGUAGAUAAUUAUCACACCUGUAGUAGUUUCUUCUGCUCAGAUACCACUAAUGCAUUUCAGGGGAGCCGACUUCAAA